rnacentral:rRNA from 1 species
AUUGAACGCUGGCGGCAUGCUUUACACAUGCAAGUCGAACGGUAACAGGCCGCAAGGUGCUGACGAGUGGCGAACGGGUGAGUAAUGCAUCGGAACGUGCCCAGUCGUGGGGGAUAACGCAGCGAAAGCUGCGCUAAUACCGCAUACGAUCUAUGGAUGAAAGAGGGGGACCGAAAGGCCUCGCGCGAUUGGAGCGGCCGAUGUCAGAUUAGGUAGUUGGUGGGGUAGAGGCUCACCAAGCCAACGAUCUGUAGCUGGUCUGAGAGGACGACCAGCCACACUGGGACUGAGACACGGCCCAGACUCCUACGGGAGGCAGCAGUGGGGAAUUUUGGACAAUGGGCGCAAGCCUGAUCCAGCAAUGCCCGUGCAGGAAGAAGGCCUUCGGGUUGUAAACUGCUUUUGUACGGAACGAAACGGCUCUGGUUAAUACCUGGGGCUAAUGACGGUACCGUAAGAAUAAGCACCGGCUAACUACGUGCCAGCAGCCGCCGUAAUAC